ACGGAAGGCAGCAGUGGGGAAUAUUGCACAAUGGGCGCAAGCCUGAUGCAGCAACGCCGCGUGAGGGAAGACGGUCUUCGGAUUGUAAACCUUUGUCUUUGGUGAAGAAGAAAGUGACGGUAGCCAAGGAGGAAGCCACGGCUAACUACGUGCCAGCAGCCGCGGUAAUACGUAGGUGGCAAGCGUUGUCCGGAAUUACUGGGUGUAAAGGGAGCGCAGGCGGGACUGCAAGUUGGAUGUGAAAUAUCGAGGCUUAACCACGGAGCUGCAUCCAAAACUGUAGUUCUUGAGUGAAGUAGAGGCAGGCGGAAUUCCGAGUGUAGCGGUGAAAUGCGUAGAUAUUCGGAGGAACACCAGUGGCGAAGGCGGCCUGCUGGGCUUUAACUGACGCUGAGGCUCGAAAGUGUGGGGAGCAAACAGGAUUAGAUACCCUGGUA
rnacentral:rRNA from 1 species